UACGGAGGGGGCUAGCGUUGUUCGGAAUUACUGGGCGUAAAGCGCGCGUAGGCGGACCUGCAAGUCGGGGGUGAAAGCCCGAGGCUCAACCUCGGAACUGCCUUCGAUACUGCGGGUCUCGAGUCCGGGAGAGGUGAGUGGAAUUCCUAGUGUAGAGGUGAAAUUCGUAGAUAUUAGGAAGAACACCAGUGGCGAAGGCGGCUCACUGGCCCGGUACUGACGCUGAGGCGACGAAGCGUGGGGAGCAAACAGG
rnacentral:rRNA from 1 species